UACGAAGGGGGCUAGCGUUGUUCGGAAUUACUGGGCGUAAAGCGCGUGUAGGCGGGUCUUUUAAGUCAGGGGUGAAAUGCCAAGGCUCAACCUUGGAACUGCCUUUGAUACUGGAGACCUUGAGUCCGGGAGAGGUGAGUGGAAUUGCGAGUGUAGAGGUGAAAUUCGUAGAUAUUCGCAAGAACACCAGUGGCGAAGGGCGGCUCACUGGCCCGGAACUGACGCUGAGACGGCGAAAAGCGUGGGGAGCAAACA
rnacentral:rRNA from 1 species